CUGCUUUGGCAGCACAUGUACUAAAAUUGGAAUGGUACAGAGAAUAUUAGAAUGGCCGCUGCCUAAGGAUAACAUGCAAAUUCGUGAAGCAUUCCAUAGUUUU
rfam:Pteropus alecto contig32458, whole genome shotgun sequence.